rfam:Myotis lucifugus cont2.9990, whole genome shotgun sequence.
GGCUGUUCUGGGUGACACACCACGUAAUCGGGCUCCCUCCUCUCUGGUUCCAGUGCGUCACCUGAGAACCACA